GUUAUGAAAGGCAGGAGUACAGCUCACAACAAAGAAGAGGAGAAGACACAGAUGGCCUGACUGGAAGAGAGAGACAGAGAGAGGGAGAUCUCCAGCAGUGCCAGCCGAAAGAGGAUCAAGGUGAUUUUGGAUAAAUUUCAGAGAUACGAUAAAGGGAAGAAGAAAAAAGGCAAGCGGGGCUGCUGGCAAAGGAGCGCCAGCCCUGCACGGGGCCCCCGCUGCCUGGGGCUGAUGCAUCAUGGGAGACAGAGCCAUCUCCAAAUCAGGAGGGAGACAUUAAAGAAGAGCAAGUGGAAAAGAAAGAGACGGAGGGAGAAA